UACGUAGGGUGCAAGCGUUAUCCGGAUUUAUUGGGCGUAAAGGGCUCGUAGGCGGUUCGUCGCGUCCGGUGUGAAAGUCCAUCGCUUAACGGUGGAUCCGCGCCGGGUACGGGCGGGCUUGAGUGCGGUAGGGGGGACUGGAAUUCCCGGUGUAACGGUGGAAUGUGUAGAUAUCGGGAAGAACACCAAUGGCGAAGGCAGGUCUCUGGGCCGUUACUGACGCUGAGGAGCGAAAGCGUGGGGAGCGAACAGG
rnacentral:rRNA from 1 species